rnacentral:lncRNA from 1 species
GUGCGCGGGGUGGGGAGUCGGGGGCGGGCGGGGAAGGACCUGUCCCCGGGACCCCAGGGUGCCAAAGAAGGAGAAAGGGAACACGAGCUGGGAGGACGCAUCAACAGGUGGCGAAGGUGCGGCUGGCGGGGGAACGGCGGCAAGCGCCCAGGAGGACCUACUCGGGGCAGGCAACGCGGCUCCAGCAAAUCCCUGCAUCAGGCAGUCGCUGGAGAACAGGCCGGAGCGGUCCCUUUCGCAGAUGCCUUUUAAACUCACGAUGGGGCCAUCGUGUGCUGGGUGUCAUGGAUAUAGCAGUGAAGGAAGCUGACGAGCACCUCCCCUUGUGGAGCUUGUGUCCUCAUGAGGACCUUCAGGCUCAAAGAUGUCACCUGAUGUACUCCGGAUCCCAGGCUGUCAAGGACUAAGAGUCCAAACGUAGGAAGAGUCCUGUCAGCCGUGGAGGCAGCGUGAACUUGAGCCCGAGCAGCCUGCCAGCCCCCAGCCCCCGGCUGCGGCUCCAGGAGAGAGCUCUGUGCCAGCUGGGCCAGCCUCACCCAGUUCUUCAGUCCGGGAGCCUAGCACCGGGCCUGGCACACAGGAGCCUCCGUGAGUGUGCGAGGCUGUUCUGUUGGCACCUGCUGCCUUGGUCAUCACUGACUAGAGGAGGUGGCCCAUGGUGCCCAGCCCCCUGAAGGGACAGACCAUGUCUGACAGAAUGUUCCCAGUCUGCAGCAAAAUGGAGAAGAAAAGCCAGGACAUUGCAGAGAGAUUGUAAAGCUUCAUCUAGUUGAUGUCAAGAAAUACCCCUUUUCUCCCUGAGAGC